GACGAACGCUGGCGGCGUGCCUAACACAUGCAAGUCGAGCGGGGGGAGUUCUUCGGAACGAACCUAGCGGCGGACGGGUGAGUAACACGUGGGUAACCUGCCUCAGUGAGGGGGAUAACCUCCCGAAAGGGAGAUUAAUACCGCAUAAUAUUGGAUUCUCGCAUGGGAAUUUAAUUAAAGGAGUAAUCCGCACUGAGAUGGACCCGCGGCGCAUUAGCUAGUUGGUGAGGUAACGGCUCACCAAGGCCACGAUGCGUAGCCGACCUGAGAGGGUGAUCGGCCACAUUGGAACUGAGACACGGUCCAGACUCCUACGGGAGGCAGCAGUGGGGAAUAUUGCACAAUGGGCGAAAGCCUGAUGCAGCAACGCCGCGUGAGUGAUGAAGGCCUUCGGGUUGUAAAGCUCUGUCUUUGGGGACGAUAAUGACGGUACCCAAGGAGGAAGCCACGGCUAACUACGUGCCAGCCGCCGCAGUAACAC
rnacentral:rRNA from 1 species